rnacentral:rRNA from 1 species
UGGCAGGUACAGCGGGAAGCCAGGCGGCGACGCCGAGCGGAACCCGAAAACCUGUCUCAGUUCGGAUCGGAGUCUGCAACCCGACUCCGUGAAGCUGGAUUCGCUAGUAAUCGCGCAUCAGCCAUGGCGCGGUGAAUACGUUCCCGGGCCUUGUACACACCGCCCGUCAAGCCAUGGAAGCCGGGGGUGCCUGAAGUGUGCAGCCGCAAGGAGCGCCCUAAGGUAAAACCGGUGACUGGGGCUAAGUCGUAACAAGGUAGC